rnacentral:tRNA from 1 species
GCCGCUUCGGCAUCAACUCCCUGGUGGCGGAGGCGCCUUGAGAGACCUCGUAAUGCGUAGGUCUCGGGUUCGAAUCCCGAAAGCGGCU